rnacentral:rRNA from 1 species
AGGACGAACGCUGGCGGCGUGCUUAACACAUGCAAGUCGAGCGGAAAGGCCCUUCGGGGUACUCGAGCGGCGAACGGGUGAGUAACACGUGAGUAACCUGCCCUUGGCUCUGGGAUAAGCCCGAGAAAUUGGGUCUAAUACCGGAUAUGACCAUUGGAUGCAUGUCUGAUGGUGGAAAGUUUUCGGCUGGGGAUGGACUCGCGGUCUAUCAGCUUGUUGGUGGGUAAUGGCCCACCAAGGCGACGACGGAUAGCCGGCCUGAGAGGGUGACCGGCCACACUGGGACUGAGACACGGCCCAGACUCCUACGGGAGGCAGCAGUGGGGAAUAUUGCGCAAUGGGCGAAAGCCUGACGCAGCGACGCCGCGUGGGGAUGAAGGCCUCGGUGUAAGCUCUUUGUGCGGGAAGAGUAAUGACGGUACCGCAAGAAUAAGCCCGGCUAACUUCGUGCCAGCAGCCGC